UACGUAGGGGCAAGCGUUGUCCGGAAUUACUGGGCGUAAAGCGUGCGCAGGCGGUCUGUUAAGACCGAUGUGAAAUCCCCGGGCUUAACCUGGGAACUGCAUUGGUGACUGGCAGGCUUUGAGUGUGGCAGAGGGAGGUAGAAUUCCACGUGUAGCAGUGAAAUGCGUAGAUAAUGCGGAGGAACACCGAUGGCGAAGGCAAUCCCCUGGGCCUGCACUGACGCUCAUGCACGAAAGC
rnacentral:rRNA from 1 species